CCUACGGGAGGCAGCAGUGAGGAAUAUUGGUCAAUGGGCGGAAGCCUGAACCAGCCAAGUCGCGUGAGGGAAUAAGGCCCUACGGGUCGUAAACCUCUUUUGCCGGGGAGCAAGGGCCGGGACGAGUCCCGGUCCGGAGAGUACCCGGAGAACAAGCAUCGGCUAACUCCGUGCCAGCAGCCGCGGUAAUACGGAGGAUGCGAGCGUUAUCCGUAUUUAGUGGGUUUAAGUGGUGCGUAGGCGGGCUUUUAAGUCAUGGGUAAAAAUUCGGGGCUCAACCCCGUCCGGCCGUUGACACUGGGGGCCGUGAGUGGGCGAGAAGAAGGCGGAAUGCGUGGUGUAGCGGUGCAAUGCAUAGAUAUCACGCAGAACCACGAUUGCGAAGGCAGCCUUCCGGCGCCCUACUGACGCUGAGGCACGAAAGUGCGGGGAUCGAACAGGAUUAGAUACCCGGGUAGUC
rnacentral:rRNA from 1 species